rnacentral:rRNA from 1 species
GACGAACGCUGGCGGCGUGCUUAACACAUGCAAGUCGAACGGAAAGGCCCUGCUUUUGUGGGGUGCUCGAGUGGCGAACGGGUGAGUAACACGUGAGUAACCUGCCCUUGACUUUGGGAUAACUUCAGGAAACUGGGGCUAAUACCGGAUAGGAGCUCCUGCUGCAUGGUGGGGGUUGGAAAGUUUCGGCGGUUGGGGAUGGACUCGCGGCUUAUCAGCUUGUUGGUGGGGUAGUGGCUUACCAAGGCUUUGACGGGUAGCCGGCCUGAGAGGGUGACCGGCCACAUUGGGACUGAGAUACGGCCCAGACUCCUACGGGAGGCAGCAGUGGGGAAUAUUGCACAAUGGGCGGAAGCCUGAUGCAGCAACGCCGCGUGCGGGAUGACGGCCCUCGGGUUGUAAACCGCUUUCGCCUGUGACGAAGCGUGAGUGACGGUAAUGGGUAAAGAAGCACCGGCGAACUACGU